CCUACGGGAGGCUGCAGUGGGGAAUAUUGCACAAUGGGGGAAACCCUGAUGCAGCGACGCCGCGUGAGUGAAGAAGUAAUUCGUUAUGUAAAGCUCUAUCAGCAGGGAAGAAAAUGACGGUACCUGAGUAAGAAGCCCCGGCUAACUACGUGCCAGCAGCCGCGGUAAUACGUAGGGGGCAAGCGUUAUCCGGAUUUACUGGGUGGAAAGGGAGCGUAGACGGCAGUGUAAGUCUGGAGUGAAAGGCGGGGGCUCAACCCCCGGACUGCUUUGGAAACUGUAAGGCUGGAGUGCAGGAGAGGUAAGUGGAAUUCCUAGUGUAGCGGUGAAAUGCGUAGAUAUUAGGAGGAACACCAGUGGCGAAGGCGGCUUACUGGACUGUAACUGACGUUGAGGCUCGAAAGCGUGGGGAGCAAACAGGAUUAGAUACCCCUGUAGUC
rnacentral:rRNA from 1 species